CCCAAGUCCGUGCCGGCAGCAGAGGGAGUACGGAUGGGGCGGGUGUGGUGCGGAGUUACUGGGCGGAAAGAGCGUGUAGGCGGUGUGGCGCGUUGGCUGUGAAAACUCACAGCUCAACGGGGAGCUUGCAGGCGAUACGGGCAGACUUGAGUACUGCAGGGGAGACUGGAAUUCCUGGUGUAGCGGUGAAAUGCGCAGAUAUCAGGAGGAACACCGGUGGCGAAGGCGGGUCUCUGGGAAGAUACUGACGCUGAGGUGCGAAAGCGUGGGGAGCAAACAGGAUUAGAUACCCGAGUAGUC
rnacentral:rRNA from 1 species